CAGCAGCCGCGGGAAUACGAAGGGGGCUAGCGUUGUUCGGAUUUACUGGGCGUAAAGGGUGCGUAGGCGGACUGAUAAGUCAGGGGUGAAAUUCCUGGGCUCAACCUGGGGGCUGCGUUUGAUACUUGGUUGCUAGAGUGAGGAAGAGGGUCGUGGAAUUCCCAGUGUAGAGGUGAAAUUCGUAGAUAUUGGGAAGAACACCGGUGGCGAAGGCGGCGACCUGGUCCUUGACUGACGCUGAGGCGCGAAAGCGUGGGGAGCAAACAGGAUUAGAUACCCGGGUAGUCCCUGUCUCUUAUAC
rnacentral:rRNA from 1 species